AGUGAACGCCGGCGGUAGGCCUAACACAUGCAAGUCGAACGGCAGCACAGUAAGAGCUUGCUCUUACGGGUGGCGAGUGGCGGACGGGUGAGGAAUACAUCGGAAUCUACUUUUUCGUGGGGGAUAACGUAGGGAAACUUACGCUAAUACCGCAUACGACCUACGGGUGAAAGCAGGGGAUCUUCGGACCUUGCGCGAUUGAAUGAGCCGAUGUCGGAUUAGCUAGUUGGCGGGGUAAAGGCCCACCAAGGCGACGAUCCGUAGCUGGUCUGAGAGGAUGAUCAGCCACACUGGAACUGAGACACGGUCCAGACUCCUACGGGAGGCAGCAGUGGGGAAUAUUGGACAAUGGGCGCAAGCCUGAUCCAGCCAUACUGCGUGGGUGAAGAAGGCCUUCGGGUUGUAAAGCCCUUUUGUUGGGAAAGAAAAGCAGCAGGUUAAUACCCCGCUGUUCUGACGGUACCCAAAGAAUAAGCACCGGCUAACUUCGUG
rnacentral:rRNA from 1 species